UGCAAGUCGAGGGUAACAUUGUGCUUGCACAGAUGACGACCGGCGCACGGGUGCGUAACGCGUAUAGAACCUACCUUUUACAGAGGAAUAGCCUUUAGAAAUGAAGAUUAAUGCCUCAUGGUAUUGUAGACUGGCAUCAGUUUAUAAUUAAAGAUUUAUCGGUAAAAGAUGGCUAUGCGUCCUAUUAGUUAGUUGGUAAGGUAACGGCUUACCAAGACAGCGAUAGGUAGGGGUCCUGAAGAAGGGAGAUCCCCCACACUGGUACUGAGACACGGACCAGACUCCUACGGGAGGCAGCAGUGAGGAAUAUUGGACAAUGGAGGAGACUCUGAUCCAGCCAUGCCGCGUGUAGGAAGAAUGCCCUAUGGGUUGUAAACUACUUUUAUACAGGAAGAAACACUGGUAUGUAUACCAGCUUGACGGUACUGUAAGAAUAAGGACCGGCUAACUCCGUGCCAGCAGCCGCGGUAAUACGGAGGGUCCGAGCGUUAUCCGGAAUCAUUGGGUUUAAAGGGUCCGCAGGCGGUCGAUUAAGUCAGAGGUGAAAUCCCAUAGCUCAACUAUGGAACUGCCUUUGAUACUGGUUGACUUGAGUCAUAUGGAAGUAGAUAGAAUGUGUAGUGUAGCGGUGAAAUGCAUAGAUAUUACACAGAAUACCGAUUGCGAAGGCAGUCUACUACGUAUGUACUGACGCUGAGGGACGAAAGCGUGGGGAGCGAACAGGAUUAGAUACCCUGGUAGUCCACGCCGUAAACGAUGGAUACCAGUUGUUGGGAUUUAUCUCAGUGACUAAGCGAAAGUGAUAAGU
rnacentral:rRNA from 1 species